rnacentral:rRNA from 1 species
UACGAAGGGGGCUAGCGUUGCUCGGAAUUACUGGGCGUAAAGGGCGCGUAGGCGGCGGUGUUAGUCAGGCGUGAAAGCCCUGGGCUCAACCUGGGGACUGCGCUUGAUACGGCAUUGCUAGAGGAUGGAAGAGGGUCGCGGAAUUCCCAGUGUAGAGGUGAAAUUCGUAGAUAUUGGGAAGAACACCGGUGGCGAAGGCGGCGACCUGGUCCAUUACUGACGCUGAGGCGCGACAGCGUGGGGGAGCAAACAGG